rnacentral:rRNA from 1 species
AUCUGGCUCAGGACGAACGCUGGCGGCGUGCUUAACACAUGCAAGUCGAACGAGAAUCUAUUGAAGGAGUUUUCGGACAACGGAUAUAGAGGACAGUGGCGGACGGGUGAGUAACGCGUGAGGAACCUGCCUUUCAGAGGGGGACAACAGUUGGAAACGACUGCUAAUACCGCAUAACAUAUAGAUGUCGCAUGGCAUUUAUAUCAAAGAUUUAUCGCUGAAAGAUGG